AGAGUUUGAUCCUGGCUCAGGAUGAACGCUGGCGGCGUGCUUAACACAUGCAAGUCGAAUGUAGUUUACUACAUGGCGGACGGGUGAGUAACGCGUGAGCAAUCUGCCCAUAUCUGGGGGAUAACAGUUGGAAACGACUGAUAAUACCGCAUAACAUGGUUUGAAGGCAUCUUCUUUCCAUCAAAGAUUUAUCGGAUAUGGAUGAGCUCGCGUCUGAUUAGCUUGUUGGUGAGGUAACGGCUCACCAAGGCGACGAUCAGUAGCCGACCUGAGAGGGUGAUCGGCCACAUUGGAACUGAGACACGGUCCAAACUCCUACGGGAGGCAGCAGUGGGGAAUAUUGGGCAAUGGAGGAAACUCUGACCCAGCAACGCCGCGUGAAUGAUGAAGGUCUUCGGAUUGUAAAGUUCUUUUCUAAGGGAAGAAGAAAGUGACGGUACCUUAGGAAUAAGCCUCGGCUAACUCUGUGCCAGCAGCCGCGGUAAUACAGAGGUCUCAAGCGUUGUUCGGAAUCACUGGGCGUAAAGCGUGCGUAGGCUGUUUCGUAAGUCGUGUGUGAAAGGCGCGGGCUCAACCCGCGGACGGCACAUGAUACUGCGAGACUAGAGUAAUGGAGGGGGAACCGGAAUUCUCGGUGUAGCAGUGAAAUGCGUAGAUAUCGAGAGGAACACUCGUGGCGAAGGCGGGUUCCUGGACAUUAACUGACGCUGAGGCACGAAGGCCAGGGGAGCGAAAGAAAGUAGAUACCCCUGUAGUCCUGGCAGUAAACGGUGCACGCUUGGUGUGCGGGGAAUCGACCCCCUGCGUGCCGGAGCUAACGCGUUAAGCGUGCCGCCUGGGGAGUACGGUCGCAAGAUUAAAACUCAAAGAAAUUGACGGGGACCCGCACAAGCGGUGGAGUAUGUGGCUUAAUUCGAUGCAACGCGAAGAACCUUACCUGGGCUUGACAUGUAAUGAACAACAUGUGAAAGCAUGCGACUCUUCGGAGGCGUUACACAGGUGCUGCAUGGCCGUCGUCAGCUCGUGUCGUGAGAUGUUUGGUUAAGUCCAGCAACGAGCGCAACCCCUGUUGCCAGUUACCAGCACGUGAAGGUGGGGACUCUGGCGAGACUGCCCAGAUCAACUGGGAGGAAGGUGGGGACGACGUCAGGUCAGUAUGGCCCUUAUGCCCAGGGCUGCACACGUACUACAAUGCCCAGUACAGAGGGGGCCGAAGCCGCGAGGCGGAGGAAAUCCUAAAAACUGGGCCCAGUUCGGACUGUAGGCUGCAACCCGCCUACACGAAGCCGGAAUCGCUAGUAAUGGCGCAUCAGCUACGGCGCCGUGAAUACGUUCCCGGGUCUUGCACUCACCGCCCGUCA
rnacentral:rRNA from 1 species